UCACCAAAUAAACUCCUGUACCCAGUCUCCAAUAUUAUGGAAGUUACUGAUUCCAUCCACUCACCAACUGAGUAAAUACGCUGCUGUCAUGUUUGGCUGUCUCUUCUAUUUAGGGCCUAUUUCAGCUGCAUUUGGCCUCACCUUUGAAGGGUCCUGAUACACCUUUACCUUUUAUCCUCAAGGAACCUCAACAUCAUUGCCCCUGCACACAGCUUCCGAAAGGCAAGAUCUGAACUGCAUUUCCAAUUCCAGGAGCAGAGGGCCAUACCUGGUGCCCUACUUUUUAGGGUCAAAUCGGAGCUGCAGCUGCCAGCCUACACCGCAGCCACAGCAAUGAAGGAUCAGAGCCACAUGUGUGACCUACCCCACAACUCACUGCAAUGUCAGAUCCUUAACCCACUGACCGAGGCUGGGGAUCAAACCCAAAUCCUCAUGGAUACUAGUCAGGUUCAUUACUGCUGAGCCACAAUAGAAACUCCAGGACUUUUUUUUUUUUUUUUUUUUUUGCCUUUUCUUGAGCCACUCCUGUGGCAUAUGGAGGUUCCCAGGCUAGGGGUCUAAUCGGAGCUAUAGCCACUGGCCUACACCAGAGCCACAGCAACUCCGGAUCCGAGCCGCGUCUGCGACCUACCCCACAGCUCACGGCAAUGCCAGAUCCUUAACCCACUGAGCUAGGCCAGGAAUCAAACCCACAACCUCAUGGUUCCUAGUCAGAUUCGUUAACCACUGCGCCACAAUGGGAACUCCCAAAAUUAUUUUUAAAAAGUGGAUGGGCCCCACACAUAAGAGUCCCUGACCUUUUGGUUAUAUUAAAAAGAUUAUUUAAAAACACAAGGUGGAGUUCCCAUUGUGACUUAGCAAUAAUGAACCCAACUGGUAUCCAUGGGGACAUGGAUUCGAUCCCUGGCCAGGUUUAGUGCGUUGGGAAUCCACCAUUGCCAUGGCUCUUGUGUAGGUUGGCAGCUCCAAUUCUGAUUGGACCCCUAGCCUGGGAACUUUCAUAUGCUGUGGGUGCAGCCCUUAAAACAAACAAACAAACAAACAAAAAAAACCCCACAGGGCCAAGCCCUUCCUGACACCAUGAAGAAAUAGCUGUCAUCCCUCUUAGCACUCACAACAUUGUCUAGAUUCUGGUGGUGUUUAGGAAGUAACCUGUUCCUUAUUCUUGUGCAUUUGUAUGCACUUCUGUCCAUUUAUGGUGUUGCAACUUGGCCCCCCUUGAAUGGACACCCCUACCACAGAGGGGUCUUCACUGUUUACAGUCAUACCUGGAAGUGUCCUCAGAGAGUCCUUUAAUGUAGAGGCUUCAGCAACCAGCUGUCAUAACUCAACAGUUACCCAGGAUGGCCUUAUGUUAUAAUUUCUUCUUUUCUUAGUUACGUUGACUAGAUGUUUAUCAAUUUUAUUAGUCUUGUCCAAUAACCAGAUUUUUUUUCGUUUUAAUAUUCUCCAUUGGUUCUUCACAAUUACAUUGAUUGUCCCUCAAUUUUUAUUAUUUUUAAAAUUCUGUUCAUUUUAGGUUUUGGUUUUGGGGUGUUUUUUUGGUUGUUUUAUUUUUUGUCUUUUUUAGGGCCUCACCUGCAGCAUAUGGAAAUCCCAGACUCGGGGUCAAAUCAUAGCUGUAGCUGUCGACCUAUGCCACAGCCAUAGCAACACCAGAUCCAAGCUGCGUCCCCCAACUUAUAUACAAGUUGCAUAAUCAUUUUGUGUAGUUUGAAAUAAUUUUUCAUAUAUCUUGAGACUUCUUCUUUGAUCCCAUGUGUUAUUUAGAAGUGAGUUAUUGAGGGAGUCUUCUUGCGGAACAGUGGGUUAAGGAGCCAGCAUUGUCACUGCAGCGGCUUUGGGGCACUGCAGCAACUCGGGUCACUGCUGUGGCACAGAUUCGUUCCUUGGCUUGGGAACUUACAAUUUACAUGGGUGCAGCCAGAAAAAAAAAAAAAAGAGGGAGAGAGAGAGAGAAGUGAGUUACUGAAUGUCUACAUGUUUGGUUUUUUGAAACUACCUGUUAUUGAUUCCUAGAACAACACUUGUGUGAUUGAUGUGAGAGCAUAUUUUGUAUAAUUUCUGUUCUUUCAAAUUUGUUAGUCUUUUAAUGUCCUAGAAAAAUGUGUUCUCUUUUGGAGAAAUUUCCAUGAGGAUUUGAGAAGAAUGCAUCUUCUGCUUGAUAGCAAAAUUAACUCCAGUUGUUAGAUGGUGCUGUUGAGUUUAAUGCUGUCUUUUGUGAUGUUCUGCCUGCUGGAAUUUAAAAUUCAUUAUAAGGGGG
ensembl:lncRNA